rnacentral:rRNA from 1 species
UGGGGAAUAUUGGACAAUGGGCGCAAGCCUGAUCCAGCCAUGCCGCGUGAGUGAUGAAGGCCCUAGGGUUGUAAAGCUCUUUCACCGGUGCAGAUAAUGACGGUAACCGGAGAAGAAGCCCCGGCUAACUUCGUGCCAGCAGCCGCGGUAAUACGAAGGGGGCUAGCGUUGUUCGGAUUUACUGGGCGUAAAGCGCACGUAGGCGGACUAUUAAGUCAGGGGUGAAAUCCCGGGGCUCAACCCCGGAACUGCCUUUGAUACUGGUAGUCUUGAGUUCGAGAGAGGUGAGUGGAAUUCCGAGUGUAGAGGUGAAAUUCGUAGAUAUUCGGAGGAACACCAGUGGCGAAGGCGGCUCACUGGCUCGAUACUGACGCUGAGGUGCGAAAGCGUGGGGAGCAAACAGG